rnacentral:rRNA from 1 species
GACAGAGGUGCCGAGCGUUAGGCGGAAUCACUGGGCUUAAAGCGUGUGUAGGCGGAUUUGUAAGUACCUUGUGAAAUCCCACGGCUUAACCGUGGAACUGCUUGGUAUACUGCUUAUCUUGGGCCACUUAGGGGUUACCGGAACAAACGGUGGAGCGGUGAAAUGCGUAGAUAUCAGGAGGAACACCGGUGGCGAAGGCGGGUCUCUGGGCCGAUACUGACGCUGAGGAGCGAAAGCGUGGGGAGCGAACAGG